AUUGAACGCUGGCGGCAGGCCUAACACAUGCAAGUCGAGCGGAUGAAGGGAGCUUGCUCCUGGAUUCAGCGGCGGACGGGUGAGUAAUGCCUAGGAAUCUGCCUGGUAGUGGGGGAUAACGUCCGGAAACGGGCGCUAAUACAGCAUACGUCCUGAGGGAGAAAGUGGGGGAUCUUCGGACCUCACGCUAUCAGAUGAGACUAGGUCGGAUUAGCUAGUUGGUGGGGUAAAGGCCUACCAAGGCGACGAUCCGUAACUGGUCUGAUAGGCUGAUCAGUCAUCCUGGAACUGAUACACGGUCCCGACUCCGACGUGAGGCAGAACUGCGGAAUAUUGGACAAUGGCCGAAAGCCUCAUCCAGUCAUGCCGCGUGUGUGAAGAAGGUCUUCGGAUUGUAAAGCCCUUUACGUUGGGAGGAACGGCAGUAAGUUAAUACCUUGCUGUUUUGACGUUACCAACAGAAUAAGCACCGGCUAACUUCGUG
rnacentral:rRNA from 1 species